UGAAGUGACAAAGACUCUCACUCUUUUGUUUUGUUUCCUUCCCCACUCUCACUCACUCACUCACCUUCCUUUGUUACCCUUCACUUGCACGUUCAGCACAAACCAGGAGAAAGUGACGAGGGGGUUGAUAUUGACCUUGGUUUCAUGGUCUUCAACCGGACAGUCGCUCUUGCUUCACUUUCAACUUGAAGAUUGCUUAAGAGACAUCAACAACUCUAUAACAUUCAACUUGAGGGCACGUACUCCCUAAUUCAACUGAAGGGCCACUGAAAAUUAUCGAAACGUACUACUAG